UUCUUUCUUAAUGCAAUUGUUUUCACAAUCUGUAACUUAAAAAUCCAGCAAUCAACCAGUUCUCCUCCAAAAGAAUAAAGCAAAUACCCCCAACUUUAUAUGGUAGAUUCUGUCUUUCUAAGGAAAUGCUUUGAACAAAACAAACAUCCACAAAUUUAGGCAAACUUUUGAAAUAAGUUUUUGACAACAGAAACAAAAUAAAACCACAAUCCAGACAUGUACAUAAAGGGGUGUGUGAUUUUUGGUUGUUUUGAAGUGAGUUUAGUGAUAAAGAAAGAGGAAAUCAAAUAUAAAUACCUUCAAGGCCAGAUAUCAUCAAUGAGCAGCAAAACACCUUGUAAUCCAUUUCUUCUUUCACCAAGGGAACACUAAAAAACAAAUCCCUAACACAAAUUAAAGAACAAAAACACUUCAAAAACAGUCUCUUGAGCUUCUUCUUACCGUUCUAAUUCAUUCAAAUUCCUCGCAUUUACUCAUCCAAGUAAAGCCGAAACCGUACAGAUUAAAACUCUCACUCUCUCUAUCCCUCUUCUUCACUCAAACAAAGCCUGUAAAAUCAACAAAAAUAAAAAAAUCAGAUUCGAUCAAAGCUCCCUCAAACAAGUUUAUAAUUCAUCAAUAGACCAGUUAACUAAAAUACUAAACUCCAUAAAAACUUAGUUUCGGAGCUUGAAACUCAGAUUUUCUAGCAAAAUACACACGCCUAAAAGAGAAGGAAAUUACACACACAAUUGAAACUCAAAAGCAAGAAUUUCAAAAUCAAAUAACUCUCCAAAGCAAGAAUUUCAAAAUCAAAAAACUCUCAGACCUGAAUUUUGCUCUUCUUCUUUAUCACUUUCUCUCUUCAGAUCUACAGCAAAGAAAAUGAUAACCUAACACACCAUUCAUACAUACACAAACUCGCUCUACUUUCUCUCUCUAAAAUUACGUACUUUAUAGUUUAUACAAACA
rnacentral:lncRNA from 1 species